GAUGAAGAACGUAGCGAAAUUCGAUAAGUAAUGUGAAUUGCAGAAUUCAGUGAAUCAUCGAAUCUUUGAACGCACCUUGCGCCCUUUGGCCAUUCCGAAGGGCAUGCCUGUUUGAGUAUCAUGAACACCUCAACUCUUCAUGGUUUUCCGUGAUGAGCUUGGACUUUGGGGGUCUUGCUGGCCUAUGGUCAGCUCCUCUAAAAUAAAUCAGCUUGCCAGUGUUUGGUGGGUAUCACAGGUGUGAUAACUAUCUACGCUUGUGGUUUUCCACCAGGUAACCUUCAGCAGUGGAGGUUCGCUGGAGCUCACAGAUGUGUCUCUCCUCAGUGAGGACAGCUCUUUGAAUGUUUGAUCUCAAAUCAGGUAGGACUACCCGCUGAACUUAAGCAUAUCAAUAAGCGGAGGA
rnacentral:misc_RNA from 1 species